AUGAAGCGAGUGGCGAACUGGUGAGUAACACGUGGGGAAUCUGCCCAGAAGCAGGGGAUAACACUUGGAAACAGGUGCUAAUACCGUAUAACAACAAAAUCCGCAUGGAUUUUGUUUGAAAGGUGGCUUCGGCUAUCACUUCUGGAUGAUCCCGCGGCGUAUUAGUUAGUUGGUGAGGUAAAGGCCCACCAAGACGAUGAUACGUAGCCGACCUGAGAGGGUAAUCGGCCACAUUGGGACUGAGACACGGCCCAAACUCCUACGGGAGGCAGCAGUAGGGAAUCUUCCACAAUGGACGAAAGUCUGAUGGAGCAAUGCCGCGUGAGUGAAGAAGGGUUUCGGCUCGUAAAACUCUGUUGUUAAAGAAGAACACCUUUGAGAGUAACUGUUCAAGGGUUGACGGUAUUUAACCAGAAAGCCACGGCUAACUACGUGCCAGCAGCCGCGGUAAUACGUAGGUGGCAAGCGUUGUCCGGAUUUAUUGGGCGUAAAGCGAGCGCAGGCGGUUUUUUAGUCUGAUGUGAAAGCCUUCGGCUUAACCGGAGAAGUGCAUCGGAAACUGGGAGACUUGAGUGCAGAAGAGGACAGUGGA
rnacentral:rRNA from 2 species